CUAAUACCCCAUAACAUCAGAGAAGGCAUCUUCUUUGGUUAAAAACUCCGGUGGUAAAAGAUGUGCAUGCGUUGUAUUAGGUAGUUGGUGAGGUAAUGGCUCACCAAGCCUACGAUACAUAGGGGGACUGAGAGGUUAGCCCCCCCACACUGGUACUGAGACACGGACCAGACUCCUACGGGAGGCAGCAGUGAGGAAUAUUGGUCAAUGGGCGCAAGCCUGAACCAGCCAUGCCGCGUGCAGGAAGACGGCUCUAUGAGUUGUAAACUGCUUUUAUAUAGGGAUAAAGUCGGGUACGUGUACCCAUUUGCAGGUACUAUAUGAAUAAGGACCGGCUAACUCCGUGCCAGCAGCCGCGGUAAUACGGAGGGUCCAAGCGUUAUCCGGAUUUAUUGGGUUUAAAGGGUGCGUAGGCGGCACAGUAAGUUAGCGGUGAAAUCUCGGGGCUCAACCCUGAAACUGCCGUUAAAACUGCUGAGCUAGAGAUUAGAUGCUGUGGGCGGAAUGUGUAGUGUAGCGGUGAAAUGCUUAGAGAUUACACAGAACACCGAUUGCGAAGGCAGCUCACAAAUCUACUUCUGACGUUGAGGCACGAAAGCGUGGGGAGCAAACAGGAUAAGAUACCCUGGUAGUCCACGCAGUAAACGAUGAUAGCUCGUUGUCGGCGAUACACAGUCGGUGACUUAGUGAAAGCGUUAAGCUAUCCACCUGGGGAGUACGUUCCCUAGAUGAAACUCAAAGGAAUUGACGG
rnacentral:rRNA from 1 species